rnacentral:lncRNA from 1 species
GGCCUGAUAUUCGGUGGAGAGCCGCAGCUGCCCGCCGCGGGGCCCCAGGCGCAGCACGCUCUCGCGCGUGGGCCGCAGCUGGCAGCACAGGAAGUCCAGGUGGAAGAGCGGCGGCGUGGGCGGCCCGGCGCGGCGCGGCGAGUGCGGGCUGGUAUCGGCCGAGCUCGCUUUUUCUGGGGACAGAGAGUGAGGCCUGGACACCCGGCGCCGGCCCAGGCCUGGCCGCGGGGAGCCGAAGGGCGACGAGUCCGGCGACGAGGCCGUGUCGCUGUCGGGGGCCCGGCAGAGGCGCAGGUCCGGGGCGGAGACGUGCAGCCGGGACUGCGCCGCGGGGAGUCCCCCGGCCGGGGCAGGUGGCGGCCCGUGGAACAGGGAUUCCCGCCGGCGCGUGUGCGGGCUCUCGGGCAGGAAGGCCCAGCCUUCGCGGCCCGCCAGGGCCGAGAGGGUCCAAAUCCCGUCUCAGAUGGGAGUGCUCGGCGGAGCGGGGCUGGGCGAGGAGCGCAGAGGAGUCAGAGAGUCUUGCUCUGUCGCCCAGACUGGAGUGCAGUGGUAUGAUCUCGGCUCACUGCAACCUCCGCCUCUCAGGUUCAAGCGAUUCUCCCACCGUAGCCUCCUGAGUCGAUGGGAUUACAGGUGUGUGCCACCACACCCAGCUAAUUUUUGUAUUUUUUGGUAGAGAUGGAGGUUUCACUAUGUUGGCCAGGCUAGUCUCUAACUCCUGACCUCAAAUGAUCCACCCACCUCAGCCUCCCAAAGUGCUGGGAUUACAGGCAUAAGCCACCGUGCCUGGCCCCCCAUUUUACUUUCUUCUUUAACAUAUAGUUAGAAUGAAAACAUGUUGAAGGGAUGAUGGCAUUAGAAAAUUACCACUGGCCACUAUCACAGUAAUAAUUGCUUUAGGCAAGAAUGAUCGAUAAAAGCUAAAAUUAAUGGGCAAAAGUAUGAUGAGAAACAGGAUAUUUAUACAAUCGCAAAGUGCCUCCCAAUAAGAUACUUAUUAAAAAGGUAAAAAUGGUAAUUUUCAGUGGAGAAAUAUGGCAGACACCAUAGUAACCAACUGAUCAAAGGGAACAUUGGCAUUAAUGGGACAAAUCAGCAUCACGUUUCUCUUGUCAUGAAGCACUGAGAAGGCCACAGCAUUGCUUCUGAAAUAUUGCAACAAAAAUGAAUAACUUGAAUCUAAUGAUGAGGAAACAUUGGAGAAAUCCAAACCUUGGAACACGCUACAAAACAACUAACUCGUACUCUGAGAAACAUAUCAGUGGACUGGAUUCCAAACAGUGGCUCAUGCCUGUAAUUUUAACACUUUGGGAGGCCAAGUUUGGUGGGGCUUUGUGUCUGAAUUCUGGCCAAUGGAACCACGUGGAGGCCUGGCCCAGAACAUCUCCCUGUGGAUUCUCUCAUCUGGCAACUGGAUGCCUACACGAAGGGUGAUUUUGGAGUCAUGUGUUGGAGAUCACAAAGCUUUUGUCAGCCAGGUUCCUGAAUGACUGCUAGACACCAUGGGCUGAACUUUAUGAGCUCCAGCACCACCUCCAGCCUUCAGUGACUGUCUGGAGCAGGCAUCCGGAUGGAAGAGAAGGGGGACAACCAUGAACUUGGUGACCCACGGUCAGCCUGAUUUCCCUUGUGGACACAUUUAUGCCCAGUGUGCAUUCCUCCUGAGGUCUGUUCCAAGUCUGGAGGCAGCAGAGUAGAGUGGAGAGAACAGUGGACUUGGAAUCUCACCUCCCAGAUUAGAGUCCUGGAUCUGACUUUGAUUGCUGGUGCUGCCUCGGGCAAGUUACUUUAGCUGUGUGCAUCUCCAUUUCCCCAUGGAUAGAACAUGGGUUUUGGGUAGAAGUGUCUGAUAGCUGUACUGUGCUUUACGGUUCAUGAGCACGCACACAUAGGCCCAUAAUAUCAUAUCUCUGGUCACCCUGGCAGGUAGAUAUUAUUGCCCCAGGUUUCAGGUAAGAAGACUAAAGACCAGGGGUCAAUUGCUUGCUCAGAGUCCCACAGCCAGCAGCAGCCAGGCAGGACACCAAGUCAGAGUCUAGAUUCCGGAUCUUGCCCUCUUCCAAGUGUACCACAUUCUUCUCAAAGUGGCCUCUCAGGUCUUUUGUCCAGAAAAUUUUGAGACUUUGAUGAGAAGCCCAUAUCUGCACACUGGGGAUUAGGCCAGAUAACCCUGUGUGUCCUUCCAGGCCUGGUAUUGUGAGGCUGAAGCCUAGUGCCCCACACUCCCUUCCUCACCCCUUAGAGAAAGAUAGAGACUCCAGGGCCAGCCUGGUGGGUGCUGAACCUGCCCUGCUGAGCCAAGCCCAGGAGGCAGCCAAGGUCCUACCAGUGACCUUACCCUGGGGGCCCCUCCAGGUAGGAGCCUGGUUGGAAAAGACAGACCGACUUCUUCUGGGUUGGCUGGAAAAAGAUGACAUACUCAAAGCCUUGUCCUUCCACUUGGAUGCACCUGGUGAAGAUGCGACAGUCACCUUUGUCUGGGGAGAGAUAGGCAGUGUUGCAGCCGGAGAAGGGAGGGUAUGGUCAGGAUGCAGCACCAUUUGGUUGAGUCUUGCCUCUGGUACAAGAUUAAGGAGAGAAAACCAGAGGACACCAGGUCCACCCCCAGGGAGCCUUCCCUCUGGGAGCAGAGGCACAGUUGCUGUCCUCACAGAGCCUUUCUGUCUAGGGCAGAAACAUGCAGGAAGUGCCCUGGCUGAGAAUGGAGAUAGGAUCAGGGCCAGGGCAAGACUUUAAGAGACCAUAAGCAUUGAAAAUUGAAAAUGUAAUUACUCAUGUAACUCACAUAUAAUUCAAAAGAAUAAUAGUAAACAGUAAAAUAAGAGCAGAAAAGUCCAUCAAAGUUCUGAUUUUUUUUUUCCAAGACAGCUACCACUACUACAUCCUUUUUUGGAAGUAUCAAAUUCUUUGAAAAAAAAUUAUGUUGGUAUUCCUGCUUUGUUUGUGCCAUAAACCCAAGGGUAGUCUGUCCCCUGUACCACUCCUUCAUCACUAGGCAGGAAGACAACAUAUAUGAGUGAGAGAGACAGGGAGAUACACAUGCGUGCACACACGAGUGCACACACACACACAAGAAGGUGGAAGCUCUAUCAUUAGGAUCCAUUAGGAUCAUUAGGUGUUUCAGGAGUGCUGCUCCAGACCCCGCACAGCAGGGAUGAUGUGCAGGGCCUCAGUGGAAGGGGUGUGGGGUCCAAGGGCUUUCAUGGGGUUGGGGCGGAAGGCUUGGGAUGAGGCUUGAUAGUUAGGGAGGGGCAGUCAGUGAGAAGUCGGGGCAGGAGCUGGGCUGGCUGUCCUCCAGUGGGGACAUGCUUGGCUGGGAGCGAAGGUGGGCCCACCAGGGUGUGCUGCUUCAGAUGGGAGGAGGGGAGCUGGAGACCUGAGAGGACACCCGCCGCCUGUUGCCUGGGGCUGCAGCAUCAGGGGUGGAGUUGGACAGCAGGAAGAACUCGCUGAGAACUGGAAGGCGGUCUGUGAAGUUGCUUCUCAGUCUUAGAACACAGGGAAGGGCGGCUGGGGUGUGUGUACUCAUGGUCCUGUCCUUACCUGAGGAAACUGCCAGUCCAGAUGGGAGCUUGAGUCCCCGGAUGUGGUCUCUGUUGGACUUGAAGGAGGGCAGCUUGAUCCAGCCGCUAGACUUAGUCUUCUCCAGAAAUUCUUGGUACAGGCUCAGCAUGUCCGAACACCAGCUGGCAUUGGGAAGAGCAUAAUCCUUCAAGUCUGUCUUCUCUGGCAAGAAUCUUGAGAACUGGGCAGGAAAAAUCAGAAUGACUAGACAGCAUCCUGGAGGGGGGCUGCUGCCUGGGCUCGGGACCUCUAAACAGCUGUUCCUGGGUGCUGGGGCUUCUCAAUCCCUUCUGCCAGAGUAUCGAUCCAAGGGAAAGGGCCCAUAUUCCUUGCAGGGGGGCUGCGGACCCCUAUGGGUGACGGGGCAUAAGGAUGCUAAAGAGCAAGGGAAGGGCGGGCAGGGAGUGGGGCCAGAGAUGAUGGGCAUGCUGCUCGAUGUGGUGCCUUACCCUUGUUCUGCUUAAAACAUGUGAGCAGUUCUUUAAAGUUGACAACUGCUCAUAUUAGCCUCACUGUACAGAUGGGGAAACUGAGGGAAUACGGCCAAGGUUGCCAAGCAUGUGACUGUGAGAGCUGGUGGUCGCACUAGAUGCUGUCUCCUCUGCAGGGCAGGGUCACAGUUGUUGAGGACCAUUCUAGCAACCCCCACCUCAGGGGCUACUCCAGCUCUGCCCACUGCUGUGGGCCUGCCUGGGCAGGGUGGCUCCUUUGAAACACAUUUGGGCCCCCACAGAGGUGUGGUGCCAUGGCUGGGGCACAGACUAUGUGCCCAUCUGUGUGACGUAAGGAAGUCCUCUGUAGCGUCACCUGCUCAUACACCAGUCACAACUGUAGACAGCAUGUGAGCUGCUUGCCAAUGCCACAGAUGGGGUCCUCUGUCUGGGGAUACCCCAGCUUUGCUGCAGUAGUCUGAGUCCCACAGGAGGAAAGUCAUUUGUUGGUGGCCACACAAGACACAGAGCCAGAUGCAGGUCUCCUGGUAGUUUUAGUUUUGAAUGGGGGCAACUUGGUAUCCCAGAGCACUUUCUCUUUGCCAAAUCAAAUAGCUCCUCCGAACACUGCCCACCUGCCCUGGCCAUGGGCUGGGAAGAGGAGAUUUGGGGUGCUCCUUAAGCCCUAGGCUCCUGGGAAAACACUGCCCAUCUGGCUGAGCUGGGAACUCACCAUGGAGUCUGUGGAGGAUCCAAAUGCUGAGGCAGGGUUGAGUCUGGGCAGGAUACGGGGGGCCUCAAGAAGGCCUCUGUGGUGGCCAAGUCUUGCUGCCACCUGGAAGCAUCUCCUUAUCAUGGCCAAGUGCAAGGAUCCAGCCCUGCUUGGAUGGAGGGUCUUGGCUGACUCCCAAGGAGUGCUUUCAGCUGCACUUGGGGCCGCUUCUCUCCCUUCUGUUGCAGGCUUUCUUUCAGAGAGCUAGGCGAGGCUGGGCUGGUGUGCUGCAACACCCACAGAUGCUCGGCGCCUUUAGCUGGUCUAGGAGCCCCACCCAGUGCUUGGGGAGGGACAGAUGCUGCUUGGGCAUGAAAAGGCAGCAGGACUGGCUUGAGUUGCAAAAGGAGUAAACAAGUACAUAAACAAAUAGUAUGGGGUAUAUAGAGCCUUGGAGAGCUGCCUGGGGGUUCUGAGGGAGAAUCCAAGAAUAUUUCCAGAAGGAUAAGGGAAGCCUGUCCCUUGAUUGGAGGGUGCUGGUGGAGUGUUCUUGGUAUGUGCUCUGCAGUGUAUACCGGACUCUGAAAACUCUGGUAUGAUUUUGUGACUCAGAAAACCAACUCACAGGCCGGGUGCGGUGGCUCACGCCUGUAAUCCCAGCACUUUGGGAGGCCGAGGCGGCGGAUUACGAGGUUAGGAGAUCGAGACCAUCCUGGCUAACACGGUGAAACCCCGUCUCUACUAAAAAAAAUACAAAAAAUUAGCCGGGCGUGGUGGCGGGUGCCGGUAGUCCCAGCUACGCAGGGGGCUGAGGCAGGAGAAUGGCGUGAACCUGGGAGGUGGAGCUUGCAGUGAGCUGAGAUCUAGCCACCGCACUCCAGCCUGGGCGACUGAGCGAGACUCCGUCUCAAAAAAAUAAAAAUAAAAAAAUAAAAAAAAAGAAAACCAACUCACAGCCUUAGACACCUCUUUUUUUUUUUUUUUUUUUUUUUUGGUGAGACGGAGUUUCAAUCUUGUCGCCCAGGCUGGUGUGCAAUGGCGUGAUCUCGGCUCACUGCAACCUCCGCCUCCUGGGUUCAAGUGAUUCUCCUGCCUCAGCCUCCUGAGUAGCUGGGAUUACAGACACACACCACCACACCCAGCUAAAUUUUGUAUAUUUUUUUUAGUAGAGAUGGGGUUUUGCCAUGUUAGCCAGGCUGGUCUUGAACUCCUGACCUCAGGUGACCUCCCAAAGUGCUGGGAUUACAGGCGUGAGCCACCGCACCCGGCCAACACCUCUUCUUAUAUCCCGGACAAGGGUUAGCACAGGAGAGUUUCACCUGCUGGUCUCUGGCUGGGGAUAGGAGUUGGAGGUGGGGGAGGGCUUGACAGGGAGGGCAGAAAAUAAUUUGGGAGGAAACAGCUUGGCAGGGAUACUCUCAUGUUUUGGGAACCCCGUGCCCAGGGAGUGGCUCAUGUCAGCAGGCAGUGCUGGGAGUGAGGUGGGCGCGGCAGUGAGGCUUUGUUGAGUGGGAAGGGACACUCAGCCAACAUCUGCAAGGCAGUGGGAUUUGGUGGUGGUGUGUCUUCUAUUGAAUUUAAACUGCCAAUUUUCAAUUAAAAGUCUCAGUUUUAAAUUGACUAAAAUAAAAGCAUGUUCUAAAGAUCAGUCCUCGCGCAGUGGCUCAAGGCUGUAAUCUCAGCAUUUUGGGAGGCCGAGUGAGACCUUGUCUUAAAAAAAAAAAAAUCAGAACUGUGCAAAGGUGGAAUCAUAACAGUGAUGAUGACGAUAAUAAUAGUUGUGAUGAUUAUGACAUUUUGGCAGGUUCCAAAAGAUGAAACUGAUUUAAUGCGGAAAUUUAAAAGAUUUGGUUCACCCUCUGUAUUUGGUUGCCCUAGAAGAAGACUAGAAUAUAAAUAUUUCCCCUCACCUCCUGCAAAGGUUUGAAUUAAACUUCCUCAAGGACUGGGGGAACCAUUUUUUUUUGUUGUUGUUAUUUUGUCAGAGUCUCACUCUUAUUGCCCAGGAGUGCAGUGGCACCAUCUCGGCUCACUGCAACCUCUGCCUCCCAGGCUCAAGCAAUUCUCCUGCCUCAGCCUCCCAAGUAGCUGGGAUUACAGGCGCUUGCUACUACGCCCGGCUAGUUUUUAUAUUUUUAGUAGAGACGGGGUUUCAUCAUGUUGGCCAGGCUGGUCUCAAACUCCUGGCCUUGGCUGAUCUGCCUGCCUCAGCGUCCCAAAGUGCUGGGAUUACAGGCAUGAGGCACCACGCCCAGCUGGAAGUUUUUUUGGUUGAUUCAGCCUCUGGGUCUAAGCAAAGAUAUUUGAGUUGGUUGCCAUCCCCAGAUAAGUGAGAAUAUCUGGCAGCACUCAUUUUCAGCCCUGGGCCGCAGCCGUUGCUGUGAGGCAGAAAUUAAAAAAAGAUAGUAAGUACUACAUUCAUUCACUCCAAGAAAAGUAACAGACAAGGCUAUAAGAAGGUCAUAGUGACCUAGUCUGAGAAGUAAAAGCCAAGGCCCAGAAUGUGGCAAGGCAAAGGUUAAAAAGAAAGGAAGAGCAAGUUUUUCUCUGCCUAGCAAGCUCACUUCAAAGACAAUUAUAAGAUAAUGCUCUUCGAGAAGUCGAAACCAAAGGAAUAGGCUCCAGACAUCCCCCGUCUGGAGCAAGGGUGAAGGAAAAAAAAAAAAGGACAAAUGUCUGUCUGUAUUUAGCCAGUUCUUGUUUUUUCUUUCCACGCAGCUACAAGGCCACCAGCUAUGCAAAGCCACAAGUUAUGCCAAGUCAUCAGUUAUGCUAUAGAUUAUGUGACCUGUCAUUAUAUGAUUAACUGCCUGUUUUGCUUCUGUAAGCCUGCUUAUAAAAAUCCUGCUCAGUCUUUGUUCAAUGCUCAGCUUUUUGGAUGUGAAUCCACUGAGCCAAUGCCUACCUUAAAAUAAACAUCGUCCUGUUUUUCCAUAUCUGUC